AAACAUGGUAACUUUAGAACAGAGAAGUUGACAGUUUUAACACUUAGUCACCACAGAUAGCUGAGUUCUCUGGUGGUUUAGAAGUCUAACCUCCGGCGGUUUGAACCAGUUUCACUCUGCAGCACAUAUAGACCUGCAGACACUGAGGUCACUACAGAUAAAUUAGGAUGACAUGGAGAGAUAGAGAGAGAGAGAGAGAGAGAGAGAGAGAGAGAGAGAGAGAGAGAGAUCGAGAGAGAGCGAGAGAGAGAGAGAGAGAGAUAGAGUGCGAGAGAGAGAGAGAUAGAGAGCGAGAGAGAGAGAGAGAGCGAGAGAGAGAGAGAGCGAGAGAGAGAGAGAGAGAUAGAGAGCGAGAGAGAGAGAGAGAGCGAGAGAGAGAGAGAGAGAGAGAAAGAGAGAGAGAGAGAGCGAGAGAGAGAGAGAGAGAGAGAGAGAGAGAGAGAUAGAGAGCGAGAGAGAGAGAGAUAGAGUGCGAGAGAGAGAGAGAGAGAGAGAGAGAGAGAGAGAGAGAGAGAGAGAGAGAGAGAGAGAGAGAGAGAGAAAGAGAGAGAGAGAGAGAGAGAGAGAGAGAGAGAGAGAGAGAGAGAGAGAGAGAGAGAGAGAGAGAGAGAGAGAGAGAGAGAGAGAGAGAGAAAGAGAGAGAGAGAGAGAGAGAGAGAGAGAGAGAGAGAGAGCAAGAGAGAGAGAUAUAGAGUGAGAGGAGUUGGGUGUCCGAGGGAGGAGUUUUCAAUAGAGGAAGAAAGAACACUUCACCCUGCUGUCAAAUGAAUAACUGACAUAGAAUCUGUUGUGGAACUGUACAGUCCGAUAGUGUAGUAAAGUAACUUUAACAGUAUAGUAACUGUGGUAGUAAAGUAACUUUAACAGUAUAGUAACUGUGGUAUUAAAGUAACUUUAACAGUAUAGUAACUGUGGUAGUAAAGUAACUUUAACAGUAUAGUAACUGUGGAGUAACUGUCCAGAAUGAUGAUACUCCAUGUUGUCUCCUGCUGUCUCCUCUCAGGUGAGUUCUUUCUGUCUGUCUGUCUGUCUGUCUGUCUGUCUGUCUGUCUGUCUGUCUGUCUGUCUGUCUGUCUGUCUGUCUGUCUGUCUGUCUGUAUUUGUCUAUAAGGAGCCAGAAUGUUUGUUUUUCACAUGUACCUCAUUAUAAUGAACUGAACUUAGAAUGUUUGAUAUGUUGGUCUAUUACCUGGGUUUGAGCAGGGUUAAAGUCAGGUUUGAGCAGGGUUAAAGUCAGGUUUGAGCAGGGUUAAAGUCAGGUUUGAGCAAGGUUAAAGUCAGGUUUGAGCAGGGUUAAAGUCAGGUUUGACCGGAGUUAAAGUCAUGUUUGACCAGGGUUAAAGUCAGGUUUGACCAGGGUUAAAGUCAGGUUUGAGCAGGGUUAAAGUCAGGUUUGACAAGGGUUAAUGUCAGGUUUGAGCAGGGUUAAUGUCAGGUUUGACUAGUGUUAAUGUCAGGUUUGACCAGGGUUAAAGUCAGGUUUGAGCAGGGUUAAAGUCAGGUUUGAGCAGGGUUAAAGUCAGGUUUGACAAGGGUUAAUGUCAGGUUUGAGCAGGGUUAAUGUCAGGUUUGACUAGGGUUAAAGUCAGGUUUGACAAGGGUUAAUGUCAGGUUUGACUAGGGUUAAAGUCAGGUUUGACAAGGGUUAAUGUCAGGUUUGAGCAGGGUUAAUGUCAGGUUUGACUAGAGUUAAUGUCAGGUUUGCGCAGGGUUAAUGUCAGGUUUGACUAGUGUUAAUGUCAGGUUUGACCAGGGUUAAAGUCAGGUUUGAGCAAGGUUAAAGUCAGGUUUGAGCAGGGUUAAAGUCAGGUUUGACCAGGGUUAAAGUCAGGUUUGACCAGGGUUAAAGUCAGGUUUGACAAGGGUUAAUGUCAGGUUUGACUAGGGUUAAAGUCAGGUUUGACAAGGGUUAAUGUCAGGUUUGAGCAGGGUUAAUGUCAGGUUUGACUAGAGUUAAUGUCAGGUUUGCGCAGGGUUAAUGUCAGGUUUGACUAGUGUUAAUGUCAGGUUUGACCAGGGUUAAAGUCAGGUUUGAGCAGGGUUAAAGUCAGGUUUGAGCAGGGUUAAAGUCAGGUUUGACCAGGGUUAAAGUCAGGUUUGACCAGGGUUAAAGUCAGGUUUGAGCAGGGUUAAAGUCAGGUUUGAGCAGGGUUAAAGUCAGGUUUGAGCAGGGUUAAAGUCAGGUUUGAGCAGGGUUAGAGUCAGGUUUGAGCAGGGUUAAAGUUAGAUUUGAGCAGGGUUAAAGUAGGAUUUGAGCAGGGUUAAAGUUAGAUUUGAGCAGGCUUAAAGUUAGAUGUGAGCAGGGUUAAUGUUAGAUGUGAGCAGGGUUAAUGUUAGAUUUGAGCAGGGUUAAAGUUAGAUGUGAGCAGGGUUAAUGUCAGAUUUGAGCAGGGUUAAAGUGAGGUUUGAGCAGGGUUAAAGUCAGGUUUGACAAGGGUUAAUGUCAGGUUUGAGCAGGGUUAAUGUCAGGUUUGACCAGGGUUAAUGUCAGGUUUGACUAGGGUUAAUGUCAGGUUUGAGCAGGGUUAAUGUCAGGUUUGAGCAGGGUUAAUGUCAGGUUUGAGCAGGGUUAAAGUCAGGUUUGAGCAGGAUUAAAGUUAGGUUUGAGCAGGGUUAAAGCUAGAUUUGAGCAGGAUAAAGUUAGAUAUGAAAAGGGUUAAAGUUAGGUUUGAGCAGGGUUAAAGUUAGAUAUGAAAAGGGUUAAAGUUAGAUUUGAGCAGGGUUAAAGUUAGAUUUGAGCAGGAUUAAAGUUAGAUAUGAAAAGGGUUAAAGUUAGAUUUUAGCAGGGUUAAAGCUAGAUUUGAGCACGGUUAAAGUUAGAUUUGAGCAUGGUUAAUGUUAGAUUUGAGCAGGGUUAAAGUCAGGUUUGAGCAGGGUUAAAGUCAGGUUUGAGCAGGGUUAAAGUCAGGUUUGAGCAGGGUUAAAGUCAGGUUUGACCAGGGUUAAAGUCAGGUUUGACCAGGGUUAAAGUCAGGUUUGAGCAGGGUUAAAGUCAGGUUUGAGCAGGGUUAAAGUCAGGUUUGAGCAGGGUUAAAGUCAGGUUUGAGCAGGGUUAGAGUCAGGUUUGAGCAGGGUUAAAGUUAGAUUUGAGCAGGGUUAAAGUAGGAUUUGAGCAGGGUUAAAGUUAGAUUUGAGCAGGCUUAAAGUUAGAUGUGAGCAGGGUUAAUGUUAGAUGUGAGCAGGGUUAAUGUUAGAUUUGAGCAGGGUUAAAGUUAGAUGUGAGCAGGGUUAAUGUCAGGUUUGAGCAGGGUUAAUGUCAGAUUUGAGCAGGGUUAAAGUGAGGUUUGAGCAGGGUUAAAGUCAGGUUUGACAAGGGUUAAUGUCAGGUUUGAGCAGGGUUAAUGUCAGGUUUGACCAGGGUUAAUGUCAGGUUUGACUAGGGUUAAUGUCAGGUUUGAGCAGGGUUAAUGUCAGGUUUGAGCAGGGUUAAUGUCAGGUUUGAGCAGGGUUAAAGUCAGGUUUGAGCAGGAUUAAAGUUAGGUUUGAGCAGGGUUAAAGCUAGAUUUGAGCAGGAUAAAGUUAGAUAUGAAAAGGGUUAAAGUUAGGUUUGAGCAGGGUUAAAGUUAGAUAUGAAAAGGGUUAAAGUUAGAUUUGAGCAGGGUUAAAGUUAGAUGUGAGCAGGGUUAAUGUUAGAUGUGAGCAGGGUUAAUGUUAGAUUUGAGCAGGGUUAAAGUUAGAUGUGAGCAGGGUUAAUGUCAGGUUUGAGCAGGGUUAAUGUCAGAUUUGAGCAGGGUUAAAGUCAGGUUUGAGCAGGAUUAAAAUUAGAUUUGAGCAGGGUUAAAGUCAGGUUUGAGCAGGCUUAAAGUUAGAUGUGAGCAGGGUUAAAGUUAGAUGUGAGCAGGGUUAAAGUCAGGUUUUGAGCAGGGUUAAAGUCAGGUUUGAGCAGGGUUAAAGUCAGGUUUGAGCAGGGUUAAAGUCAGGUUUGAGUAGGGUUAAUGUUAGAUGUGAGCAGGGUUAAUGUUAGAUUUGAGCAGGGUUAAUGUUAGAUGUGAGCAGGGUUAAUGUUAGAUGUGACUAGGGUUAAUGUUAGAUGUGAGCAGGGUUAAUGUUAGAUGUGAGCAGGGUUAAUGUUAGAUGUGAGCAGGGUUAAUGUUAGAUGUGAGCAGGGUUAAUGUUAGAUUUGAGCAGGGUUAAAGUUAGAUUUGAGCAGGGUUAAUGUUAGAUGUGAGCAGGGUUAAUGUUAGAUGUGAGCAGGGUUAAUGUUAGAUGUGAGCAGGGUUAAUGUUAGAUGUGAGCAGGGUUAAUGUUAGAUGUGAGCAGGGUUAAAGUUAGAUUUGAGCAGGGUUAAUGUUAGAUGUGAGCAGGGUUAAUGUUAGAUGUGAGCAGGGUUAAUGUUAGAUGUGAGCAGGGUUAAUGUUAGAUGUGAGCAGGGUUAAAGUUAGAUGUGAGCAGGGUUAAAGUCAGGUUUGAGCAGGGUUAAAGUCAGGUUUGAGCAAGGUUAAUGUCAGGUUUGACCAAGGUUAAAGUCAGGUUUGAGCAGGGUUAAAGUGAGGUUUGAGCAGGGUUAAAGUCAGGUUUGACAAGGGUUAAUGUCAGGUUUGAGCAGGGUUAAUGUCAGGUUUGACCAGGGUUAAUGUCAGGUUUGACUAGGGUUAAUGUCAGGUUUGAGCAGGGUUAAUGUCAGGUUUGAGCAGGGUUAAUGUCAGGUUUGAGCAGGGUUAAAG